rnacentral:rRNA from 1 species
UGGGCAACCUACCCCUGGCUCCGGGAUAACCCUCGGAAACGAGAGCUAAUACCGGAUAUCAGCUCGCGCCGCAUGGCGCUUGCUCGAAAGUUUUUUCGGCUGGGGAUGGGCCCGCGGCCUAUCAGCUUGUUGGUGGGGUGAUGGCCUACCAAGGCGACGACGGGUAGCCGGCCUGAGAGGGCGACCGGCCACACUGGGACUGAGACACGGCCCAGACUCCUACGGGAGGCA